UUUCUGAUUCACAGUUUUAUUUUCAAAGUAGUUUAACAAUAAAACUGUUCUUCCUGGGUUUCAGUGUCGUUAAUUUUGAUUAGUGUGAUUAAACUGAAAAUAGUUUGAAUGUAAAUUUUGAGGUUAUGUUCGGAAAAGUACAAUUCUCGAAAGUUCCAAAGCCAGGAAAAAUGGAAUAAUUAUUUUACAGUGCACAUUUUGCAAAAAAUGCGCUAUUAUCACUGUUAAAAGUAACUAAAUAACUAAAACACAAAUUUUGAUUUUUUUACUUUUUAAAUUUUCUGAACGCACUCAUUCCAAUUUAACCUAUAAAAUUUAUCUAACCUAAAAAUCCACUUGAAGAAUAACACGAUUGUCCACUCUGAAAAGGUUUACAACAUGAAAUCUUUAUCCAAUAUUGUUCAUAAAUGCCAGAUGUGUUCGUACUUUACAACACUACUGCUUUUUAUGGAGAGUCAUUCCAAACGCAAUCAUUCCAUAAUGCUACAUUUCAGCUGUGAUGACAAUGUGGAAACUUAUCGCUGUCGUGACUGCAACUUCCAGACAGAUUUUAUUGUCACUUUGAAGAAACACAUUAAAGAGUGUCAUCCAAGUGAAAAAAACAACUUCCAGCCAGAUACCAGUUACAGUAUUCAGAAUUACAGUUGUAAAAAUUGCGAUCUCGAAACCCAUUCUUCGAUUAAAUUUCUUCAGCACACCGUAGUUUGUCAAAAGGCUCGGCAACAAACGACCAAAUUAAAAUUACGCAGAACUGGAACACAUUCACAAAAAAAUUGUUGGUAUCCAUGUGAAAAAUGUACUCACAAGAGCAAAACGCUAUAUCAUUUAAGAAAACACAUCUACGCCAAACACACAGACGAAAACGACAUCAAAUGGCAGAAGUGUGGUCAUUGUUCAUUCAUGGCAAAAACCCCAGAACAUUUAAAAGUUCAUGUAAAGCACCAACAUUUGGGUGAUAAAACGCAGUGGUAUCACUGUGACAAAUGCCCCCACAGAACCAAAUAUAAACAAGGAAUGAAAAUACACGUGACAAAUGUACACAGUGAAGAAAAACCAGUACAGUGUGAAAAGUGUUCACGCACUUUUAAGAAUGAGACUGGAUUAAGAAGUCACACGCGUCUCAUGCACAUGGAAAUGCAAGGCCUCAGGUGUGAGAAGUGUCCCUACAGGACAUUACGUACAAGGAAUUUAAAAGCUCAUGUAAUUAGCAAACAUUUGGAUGAAAGUCAGAUUGAGUGGCAGCAAUGUGAACAAUGUCCACACAAAACUAAAACCACAUGGCUUUUAAAACAGCACAUACAUGAUGUACAUCAAGAUGGUAAGAAAUAUCGCUGUGAUCGCUGUACAUUUAAAUCGCGUAGUUCGUUGAAAUUAGCAAACCAUAUAAACACCAAACAUGCACAGGGCAGUGAAGUUAAGUGGUAUCAGUGCACAAAGUGUUCUCAAAAAUAUAAAUCUAACCCAAGUUUAAAACGGCACAUGAGCUUGCAGCAUGAAGAAUUCCGGGGAAAAUAUCAGUGUGAACAAUGUGGUUUUAAGUCAUCUAGUCCACAACGUUUAAAAGACCAUAUAAAUUGCAAACAUGUAAGUGACGCUGAAGCUGAGUGGUACCAAUGUGAACAAUGUCCAUUUAAACGUAAAAAUAAAUCGUCUUUGAUGAAGCACAUACGCUUGAUACAUUGAGGUGUUAGUCAUUAUAAUUGAAAAUAUAUAAUUAAAACCUUGA